rnacentral:rRNA from 1 species
UACGGAAGGGGCAAGCGUUGUUCGGAUUCAUUGGGCGUAAAGGGUGCGUAGGUGGUCAGGUAAGUCGGAUGUGAAAUCUCCGAGCUCAACUCGGAAACUGCAUUGGAAACUACCUGGCUCGAGGGUUGGAGGGGGGGACUGGAAUGCUUGGUGUAGCAGUGAAAUGCGUAGAUAUCAAGCGGAACACCAGUGGCGAAGGCGAGUCCCUGGACAACUCCUGACACUGAUGCACGAAAGCUAGGGGAGCAAACAGG